AAAGGGAAGAAAAAAAUACAAGUAAAACAAGAAAAGGGGACAUUGAAGAUCAAAUAAGGUGAAUAGCAAGGAGAUUUGUAAGCAAGUGCAAUUAAUUCCUCAAUUUACUUUAUUGCGCAGUUGGUGGCAAUUGUUUCCUUGUCACUUACCCACUAGUGUGUCAACGAGAUAGGAUGGACAUAUUGACGCGAUGCACGGGCUCCGUUGCAGCUGAAGUU